UGGGGAAUAUUGGACAAUGGGGGGAACCCUGAUCCAGCCAUGCCGCGUGUGUGAAGAAGGCCUUUUGGUUGUAAAGCACUUUAAGCAGUGAAGAAGACCUAACGGUUAAUACCCGUUAGCGAUGACAUUAGCUGCAGAAUAAGCACCGGCUAACUCUGUGCCAGCAGCCGCGGUAAUACAGAGGGUGCAAGCGUUAAUCGGAAUUACUGGGCGUAAAGCGAGCGUAGGUGGCUUGAUAAGUCAGAUGUGAAAUCCCCGGGCUUAACCUGGGAACUGCAUCUGAUACUGUUAAGCUAGAGUAGGUGAGAGGGAAGUAGAAUUCCAGGUGUAGCGGUGAAAUGCGUAGAGAUCUGGAGGAAUACCGAUGGCGAAGGCAGCUUCCUGGCAUCAUACUGACACUGAGGCUCGAAAGCGUGGGUAGCAAACAGG
rnacentral:rRNA from 1 species